rnacentral:rRNA from 1 species
UGCGCUAAUAGAUGAGCUUAAGUCGGAUUAGCUAGUUGGUGGGGUAAAGGCCUACCAAGGCGACGAUCUGUAGCGGGUCUGAGAGGAUGAUCCGCCACACUGGGACUGAGACACGGCCCAGACUCCUACGGGGAGGCAGCAGUGGGGGAAUAUUGGACAAUGGGGGGAACCCUGAUCCAGCCAUGCCGCGUGUGUGAAGAAGGCCUUUUGGUUGUAAAGCACUUUAAGCGAGGAGGAGGCUACUCUAGUUAAUACCUAGAGAUAGCGGACGUUACUCGCAGAAUAAGCACCGGCUAACUCUGUGCCAGCAGCCGCGGUAAUACAGAGGGUGCGAGCGUUAAUCGGAUUUACUGGGCGUAAAGCGUGCGUAGGUGGCCAAUUAAGUCAAAUGUGAAAUCCCCGAGCUUAACUUGGGAAUUGCAUUCGAUACUGGUUGGCUAGAGUAUGGGAGAGGAUGGUAGAAUUCCAGGUGUAGCGGUGAAAUGCGUAGAGAUCUGGAGGAAUACCGAUGGCGAAGGCAGCCAUCUGGCCUAAUACUGACACUGAGGUACGAAAGCAUGGGGAGCAAACAGGAUUGGAUACCCUGGUAGUCCAUGCCGUAAACGAUGUCUACUAGCCGUUGGGGCCUUUGAGGCUUUAGUGGCGCAGCUAACGCGAUAAGUAGACCGCCUGGGGAGUACGGUCGCAAGACU